AUGGCAGCCCAGGCGGGUUUCCAGUCUGUGGCUCUGAGCGUGGUGCAGGAGCCUCAGGAGGAGCAGGCGUGGCGGCUUCUCUGGGCCCCGGGCAGAACUCCCGGCCUCCCGUGCAAAUAGGCCCUGCGCUGGGUUAAGGGCUGUACCGCUCUCCGAUGCCUGGGGAGGCCUAUCUGAGUUCAGGUAUGUUGCCAGGUAGCUGAAUGACACCUCAGGGACCUUCCAUGGGACCUCCUGGCUAUGGGAGGAACCCUUCAGUCCGACCUGGCCUGGCCCAGUCAGGGAUGGACCAGUCCUGCAAGAGACCUGCGCCUCAACAGAUCCAGCAGGUCCAGCAGCAGGCAGUCCAAAAUCGAAAUCACAAUGCAAAGAAAAAGAUGGCUGAUAAAAUUCUACCUCAGAGGAUUCGGGAAUUGGUACCAGAAUCACGGGCCUACAUGGAUCUCUUGGCUUUUGAAAGGAAACUGGACCAGACUAUUAGGAGGAAACGACUAGAUAUCCAGGAGGCCUUGAAAUGUCCCAUCAAGCAAAAACGGAAGCUGCGAAUUUUCAUUUCUAACACGUUCUAUCCGGCCAAGUUGGAUGCCGAGGAUGGGGAAGGGACAGUGGCUUCCUGGGAGCUCCGGGUAGAGGGCCACUCCUGGAGGACUCAGCCUUGUCCAAAUAUGAUGCCACCAAGCAAAAGAGAAAGUUUUCUUCCUUUUUUAAGUCCUUUGUGAUUGAACUGGACAAAGACCUCUAUGGACCAGACAACCAUCUGGUAGAAUGGCACAGGACUGCCACUACCUUGCAGUUCUCAACAACUACCCAGGAGACCGAUGACUUCCAGGUGAAGUGACCAGGAGAUGUGAAUGUGUGGUGUACGGUCCUGCCGAUGCUGGAUUACCAGUCCCCCCAGUUUAAAUUAGACCCUCUACUGGCUCCGCUCUUGGGCAUCCAUACUCAGACACGUCCAGUGAUCCAAGCACUGUGGCAAGAUAUUAAAACACAUAAACUCCAGGACCCUCACGAGCGAGAGUUUGUUAUCUGUGACAAGUACCUCCAUCGGAUCUUUGAAUCUCAGCGGAUGAAGUUUGAGAUCCCUCAGCGGCUCCAUGCCUUGCUUAUGCCACCAGAGGCCAUCAUCAUUAAUCACGUCAUCAGUGUUGACCCAGAUGAUCAGAAAAAGACAGCAUGCUAUGACAAAUGACGUGGAAGUGGAUGACACUUUGAAGACCCAGAUGAACUCUUUCCUGCUGUCCACUGCCAGCCAGCAGGAGAUCUCUAUGCUAGACAACAAGAUCCAUGAGAUAAUAGAAACUAUCAACCAGCUGAAGACCCAGUGAGAGUUCAUGUUGGACUUUGCCCAAGACCCUCAGGGUUUCAUCAAUGAUUGGCUUCAGUCCCAGUGCCGGGACCUCAAGACGAUGACUGAUGUAGUAGGUAACCCAGAAGAGGAGCACCAGUGCUGAGUUCUACUUCCAGCCCUGGGCUGAGGAGGCUGUGUGCUGAUACUUCUACUCCAAGGUGCAGCAGAGGCAGCAAGAGUUAGAGCAAGCCCUGGGAAUCCAAAACACACAGGGCCUCUCCGGCCCUAGUGUGGCUGCACCGAUUCCUUGGGCCCUGUGCUGCCUGCCUCAGUGUACCUGUCUUGGUCUUAUUGAGGCAUUCCAGGAGAUGCUGUUGGCUCCAGGAGAGUGUCAAAAUGAAGAGGGUGUCACACUUCUGUCUUACAAUCACCUGUUAUCCUUUCCUGCACCCCAGCCUCCCACCUCAGCUCCUCCCCACCAAGCUCCCAUGUGCCUCUACCUCCCUCUCCUACAUAGGACCUCUAGAUAA